rfam:Haemonchus contortus, ISE/inbred ISE, WGS project CAVP01000000 data, contig: Hcontortus_contig_pathogens_Hcontortus_scaffold_22926
UCCCUGGUGGUCCAGUGGCUAAGACUCCAUGCUCCCAAUGCAGGGGGCCUGGGUUCAAUCCCUGGUCAGGGAA